GGAAGUCGGAGACCGGGAGUUUUUAUAAAGAUCUGGUGGGCGGCUACUAUGAUGCUGGAGAUGCAAUUAAGUUCAACUUCCCUAUGUCCUUUGCCAUGACCAUGUUGAGUUGGAGUGUGAUCGAAUACAGUGCAAAGUAUGAGGCUGCUGGGGAGCUCAACCAUGUCAAAGAGAUAAUCAAGUGGGGAACUGAUUACUUUCUCAAAACUUUCAAUUCUUCUGCUGAUACCAUAGACAGGAUGGUUGCACAGGUAAAUUUAUACCUGUGGUUUAGCCAAUUUAGUUAGCUACAUGAAGAUAGCUUGUUGUUUUUUGUUUCCUUUUAGUCUUCCAGGAUAUAUCCAUUUUUCAACAUUGUAAGUGUCUCAGUUUUGCUUUAGUCUAAUUAAUUUUUAACUUUGCUGCAACCAAAUGUCCCUUCUGUUUGUUGCUUGGAUUUUCCAAUUUUAAAAUAUUUAAGGACCAGACUGCAGUCAGUCUUGGCUAUUAUGAUACAUCAUGCUCCCUCCCUGUUGUGUAAUUUGUUGUCAAACUAUUGCUAAUGUUUUAGCUUUGGAUCUUCUGAAAAUGCUCAGUCAGUUAGAUUAUGCAAUUGUAUUCUGAUGUACACAGUUCCUCCUCUUUUUGACAGGUUGGAAUAGGAGAUACUUCCGGGGGGAGUACAACUCCCAAUGACCAUUAUUGUUGGAUGCGCCCUGAGGACAUUGAUUAUAAACGUCCUGUAACAGAAUGUGGUGGCUGCUCAGAUCUUGCUGCAGAGAUGGCUGCAGCGUUAGCUGCUGCAUCCAUUGUUUUCAAGGACAACAAGGCCUACUCACAGAAACUUGUCCAUGGUGCUAGAACUCUCUUUAAGUUUUCUAGGGAGCAGCGAGGCAGGUAUAGCAAUGGUGGUACAGAUGCUGCAAUUUUCUAUAAUUCAUCUAGUUACUGGGAUGAGUUUGUCUGGGGCGGAGCCUGGCUGUACUACGCCACUGGGAACAACUCCUAUCUUCAGCUUGCUACUACACCUGGUCUGGCCAAGCAUGCCGGUGCUUUCUGGGGAGGCCCAGAUUAUGGUAUACUUAGCUGGGACAACAAGCUUGCUGGUGCUCAAGUAAGUUAGUAGAGCUAGUUUUUAUUUUUUUAAGGACUUGGUCAGUUGUGCGAUUUAGUUGUUGUUUCCUGGCAAAUUAACUCAGUGUCAGUGUUUAUGUUGUACAAUUUUUCAGUUUAGUGGUUCAACCAUGUAAGGUCCUCUUGGCAUUCUAAAUCCUGGAUUGCCAUCAUUAGUCAACCCAAAAUUUUACCUAGUUCUUAACAUUGGCAUCAACUUAUUUGUUUAUUGCUUGUAUGAUAUCAUACUAAAGGUUGGGCAAAGUUGAGCCUAUACGAACAAACUGUCAGCAAGUUCUAGGACAUGGCUCUACCUUAAAUUGUCCAUUUUGGUAGUACAUAGCAGAUCCAGGACUUCAUUAUACUACUGGGCAUCCAUUUUAUGUGUUGGACCAUUUAUGAAAGGGAUUGUCUCUGGGUAAUUCACCUCUCAAAAUGAUGGCAUAACACAACUGUCAUGGCUGCCAAACUGGUCUUGUUUUCACUUAUAAUAUUUGAAGUGGAAAUCAUAGUUUUAAAUUGAGUAGCAAGUUUUGGCAGUUGAUUUGUUACUCUUUAUCUUUUAAUAGUUUCCAUUUAGAUAAAUUUGGCAAGAACUGAAGGUAUUAUUUAGUUUGGCAUUCCGUUUUUAUUUUGGAAGUCUUAACAUUUGCCUAAUGUUAAUGGUAUCAAAUUUCUCAGCUUGUUUCAAUGUGUGCUUCUUGAUAUUUGUCUCUGAAGUUGAUAUGUGGUUUGUUUCCAACAGUUCUCCUUUGAUGAUUGUAUUAGUCCAUGCAGCUUUGGGGCCAAACAUGAAUGCUUACCAAAUUGUUAGGCUUUCUCUAACACCUGUGAGCAGUGCUUACAAUGAUACCAACUUUAGUGAACUUUCCCCCUUUUUGAUUGGAUCUCCAUUUUCCGUUUUUAGUAUGUCAAAAUUUCGCUGAAGUUUUUCAUGUUUUUUUCCUUAUAUUUUCUUCUGCCUGCUGUCUUAUUUAUUUAUUUUCUUCUUAUGAUAGUCUCUUUCAUAUCUGCUGAUAUCUCAGCUUUAGGAUGGUCCAGUUGAUUUCUUUAUGAAAAGGUUUACAUCCAUAAAUGAAGUAGCUCCGAGACAUUCACAUUUGCAUGUUGAUCAAAUAAAAUUGGAAUUAUUGUUUGCAAGAGUCAAAAACUCAUGGCUGGUUCAUUGCUGAUAUGCUUUAUGUUUUUUUCUUAAUUAGGUGCUCCUAAGCCGUUUGAGAUUGUUCUUGAGCCCUGGGUAUCCAUAUGAAGAAAUUCUGAGGACAUUUCACAAUCAAACCAGCAUAAUUAUGUGCUCAUACCUACCGAUUUUCACAAGCUUUAACAGAACAAAAGGUACCCCAGCUAAUAUUUCGUCAACCUUACAGUUUGGUGGGGAUGGGUUGCCCAAGUUUAACACAAAAACUUAAUGUAAUGUUUUGGGUACCCCUUGCAGGAGGCUUGAUCCAAUUAAACCAUGGAAGGCCACAACCACUUCAAUACAUUGUCAAUGCUGCCUUCCUGGCUACCCUGUACAGUGAUUAUCUUGAAGCUGCUGACACCCCUGGAUGGUAUUGUGGACCUAAUUUCUAUUCAACUGAAGUCCUGCGUGAAUUUGCCAAGACCCAGGUAUGCGAUAUCUGAUUCCUCAAUUAAAGUUGUGAGGGAACAUGAGUCUGCUCAUGUAGUAAUAAAUAUUGUUGGAACCAACAAGGUCACUUAAAUUUUUCAUAUCUCUGACCUUCUGGCAGAUUGAUUACAUCCUCGGCAAAAAUCCUCGAAAGAUGAGCUAUAUUGCAGGUUUUGGCAAUCAUUAUCCAAGACAUGUCCACCAUAGAGGUGCAUCUAUCCCUAAGAACAAAAUCAAAUAUAAUUGUAAAGGAGGAUGGAAAUGGAGAGACUCUUCGAAGCCAAAUCCAAAUACACUCGUAGGGGCCAUGGUUGCUGGGCCAGACAAGCAUGAUGGUUUCCAUGAUGUCCGUACUAAUUACAACUACACAGAGCCUACGCUUGCAGGAAAUGCAGGUUUAGUAGCUGCACUUGUGGCUCUGUCAGGUGACAAGACAACUGGAAUUGACAAGAACACUAUAUUCUCUGCUGUUCCACCAAUGUUUCCCACUCCACCACCCCCUCCCGCACCUUGGAAACCAU
rnacentral:lncRNA from 1 species